rnacentral:rRNA from 2 species
CCCUAGUAACGGCGAGUGAAGCGGCAACAGCUCAAAUUUGAAAUCUGGCUCUUUUAGAGUCCGAGUUGUAAUUUGCAGAGGGCGCUUUGGCUUUGGCAGCGGUCCAAGUUCCUUGGAACAGGACGUCACAGAGGGUGAGAAUCCCGUACGUGGUCGCUGGCUAUUGCCGUGUAAAGCCCCUUCGACGAGUCGAGUUGUUUGGGAAUGCAGCUCUAAAUGGGAGGUACAUUUCUUCUAAAGCUAAAUAUUGGCCAGAGACCGAUAGCGCACAAGUAGAGUGAUCGAAAGAUGAAAAGCACUUUGGAAAGAGAGUCAAACAGCACGUGAAAUUGUUGAAAGGGAAGCGCUUGCAGCCAGACUUGCUUGCAGUUGCUCAUCCGGGCUUUUGCCCGGUGCACUCUUCUGUAGGCAGGCCAGCAUCAGUUUGGGCGGUAGGAUAAAGGUCUCUGUCACGUACCUCUCUUCGGGGAGGCCUUAUAGGGGAGGCGACAUACUACCAGCCUGGACUGAGGUCCGCGCAUCUGCUAGGAUGCUGGCGUAAUGGCUGUAAGCGGCCCGUCUUGAAACACGGACCAAGGAGUCUAACAUCUAUGCGAGUGUUUGGGUGUCAAGCCCGAGCGCGUAAUGAAAGUGAACGGAGGUAGGACCCCGCAAGGGUGCACUAUCGACCGAUCCUGAUGUC